CUUCGGGUUGUAAAGCCCUUUUCAGGGGGACGAGGAAGGACGGUACCCCUGGAAUAAGUCUCGGCUAACUACGUGCCAGCAGCCGCGGUAAAACGUAGGAGGCGAGCGUUAUCCGGAUUUACUGGGCGUAAAGCGCAUGCAGGCGGCUUCGUAAGUCGGAUGUGAAAUCUCCCGGCUCAACUGGGAGGGGUCAUUCGAUACUGCGAGGCUUGAGGGCAGGAGAGAGGAGUGGAAUUCCCGGUGUAGUGGUGAAAUGCGUAGAUAUCGGGAGGAACACCAGUGGCGAAGGCGGCUCCCUGGCCUGCACCUGACGCUAAGAUGCGAAAGCGUGGGGAGCGAACGGGAUUAGAAACCCCGGUAGUCCACGCCGUAAACGAUGCGGACUAGGUGUGGGAGGUAUUGACCCCUUCCGUGCCGUAGCUAACGCGAUAAGUCCGCCGCCUGGGGACUACGGCCGCAAGGCUAAAACCCAAAGGAAUUGACGGGGGCCCGCACAAGCAGCGGAGCGUGUGGUUUAAUUCGAUGCUACACGAAGAACCUUACCUGGGCUUGACAUGCGGGUAGUAGUGAAGCGAAAGCGGAACGAUCCUUCGGGAAGCCCGCACAGGUGCUGCAUGGCUGUCGUCAGCUCGUGCCGUGAGGUGUUAGGUUAAGUCCUGUAACGAGCGCAACCCUUGCUGCUAGUUAUACGUGUCUAGCGGGACUGCCUGGAUAAACCAGGAGGAAGGUGGGGAUGACGUCAAGUCAGCAUGGCCUUUAUGUCCAGGGCUACACACACGCUACAAUGGCCGGUACAAUG
rnacentral:rRNA from 1 species